UCAUCGCAUGGUGAUUCGUCUCCGCACAAAAGUUACCUUCUUGGACUUCCGUGCGGCUCACAGCAAAAAAAAGUUACCUUCUUUAAAGCUGGGAACUUAGCAGUUGAUUCCUGGUGCUAUAAACAAAUGACAAAAAGACAAGAACUGCAGAACUGAGCUGGUGCUCAGCAUACCAAUAAGAGAUUAUUUUUGAAAGCUACCUGCCAAUAGUACAGAAGUCGGAAAAGCAAUGCCUGGCCAAGAAGCGCUGGUUUUCUUCAUGGGAAAAUUCAUACUCUAGAAUGUGUUAUUCAUCAUCAGGAUUCUCUCUCUUUUUAAAAAAUUCUGGUUAAAAUAUGGUUGUUGUUUGAGUCACAUUAUGUUCUGACAUCACUGUUUCAUCAACCCUUUAUAACUUUAUUCAAAUAGAUCGCACAGCAGAGGGACCUCCAAGGCAGACAUCAGGAGAAACGGAGUCAAAGCAAGAUGUGCCCCAGAGACCUCCUUGGGCGAGUGGAUUAGGCAACUCUAAGAGGGCUAAACAAGAGGAUCCAAGAAAUAGAGGCAUAGAAGAGGCCCACACGGGUAUGGAAAAUUGAAUAUUUCUAUGCAGUAUUACUCUGCAAGUAUAUAUCCCAGAUGGUC
rnacentral:lncRNA from 1 species